rnacentral:rRNA from 1 species
UGAGUUUGAUCCUGGCUCAGAAUGAACGCUAGUAGUAUGCUUUACACAUGCAAGUUUAACAAUUUUAUUUGUAUUGUAGCGAACGGGUGAGUAUUUACAGAAUUUUACCUUUUAGACUGACAUAAAGUAUGUUUCAUAUUUAAGUAAAUAUGAAUAAAAAUAUAGUAAUAUAUUUUUACUAAUAUCAGAUAUUAUUAUAUUAAUAAUAUAAAGAAAAAUUUCUCUAAUAGAUAAUACUGUAUAAGAUUAGGUUGUUGGUAGUGGAAUCAGCCUACCAAGCCUACGAUCUUUAGUUGGUCUGAGAGGAUGAUCAGCCACAUUGGAACUGAAACAAGGUCCAAGCUUUAUAGCCAGCAGUGAGGAAUAUUGGGCAAUGAACGAAAGUUUGACCCAGCAAUACUACGUGAAUGAUGACGGCUGAUUUGGUUGUAAAAUUCUUUAAUAAAUAAAGAGAAUGACUUUAUUUAAUGUAAAAAGUCCCGGCUAAUCUCGUGCCAGCAGCCGCGGUAAUACGGGAGGGGCAAGCGUUAUUCGGAAUAAUUGGGCGUAAAGGGUUCGUAGACGGUAUUUUAAGUUAAAUAUUAAAUUUUAAAGCUUAACUUUAAUUAAAUGUUUAAUACUGAUAUACUAGAGUUGAUAAUAGAAAAGUAGAAUUUUAUGAGUAGGGAUAAAAUCUGUAUAUACAUAGAGGAAUAUCGUAAGCGAAGGCAACUUUUUAUAAACAACUGACGUUGAGGAACGAAAGUGUAGGUAGCAAACAGGAUUAGAUACCCUGGUAGUCUACACUGUAAACGCUGAGUGCUAAAAUUUAAAAGUAAUAUUUAGAUUUUUUAAGCUAACGCAAUAAGCAUUCCGCCUGAGGAGUAUGAUCGCAAGAUUGGAACUCAAAGGAAUUGACGGGGGCCUAUUACAAGUGGUGGAGCAUGUGGUUUAAUGCGAUAAUACGCGCGAAACCUUACCAGCUUUUGACAUAAAAGAAAAAUUAAGUUUAUUAUUUUUUAAAGUAUUAUUAAUUAAUACUAGAUAAUACAUUAAUUUUUAAAAUUCUUUAUACAGGUGUUGCACGACUGUCGUCAGUUCGUGUCGUGAGAUGUUUGGUUUAUUCCUUUAACGAACGUAACUCUCAUUUUUAAUAUUAUUAAAAUAACUUUAAAACUAUUAAAAAUACUGCCUACUAAAAGUAGGAGGAAGGUGAGAAUUAUGUCAAGUCAAUGUGGCCCUAAUAAGCUGGGCUACACAUGUGCUACAAUGAAAAUUACAAAAAGUAACUAAAUAAUUCUAAUAUAGUUAAUCUUUAAAAAUUUUCUUAGUUCGGAUUGCAAAUUGCAACUCAUUUGCAUGAAGUUGGAAUCACUAGUAAUCGCAAAUCAGAACGUUGCGGUAAAUAGUAAAUUGGUCUUGUACACACCGCCCGUCACAUGCAGGAAGUUAGUUUUUUUUGAAGAUUUAUUAUUUAAAAUUUUUAUGCUUUUAUUAUUUUAGAUAGUUUAAUAUUUUAAAAUUAAUAACUUGGAUGAAGUCGUAACAAGGUAGCUGUACGGGAACGUGUAGCUG